rnacentral:rRNA from 1 species
UACAGAGGGUGCAAGCGUUGUCCGGAAUCACUGGGCGUAAAGGGCGCGUAGGCGGCUUGGUAAGUAGGGGGUGAAAUCUUGCGGCUCAACCGCAAGGCUGCCUUCUAAACUGCCGGGCUUGAGCACAGUAGAGGCAGGUGGAAUUCCCGGUGUAGCGGUGGAAUGCGUAGAGAUCGGGAAGAACAUCAGUGGCGAAGGCGGCCUGCUGGGCUGUUGCUGACGCUGAGGCGCGAUAGCGUGGGGAG